rnacentral:rRNA from 1 species
GACAGAGGAGGCAUGCGUUAUCCGGAAUUAUUGGACGUAAAGCGUCCGUAGGUGGUUUGGCAAGUCUGGGGUUAAAGCCCGGAGCCUAACUCCGGAUCGGCCCUGGAAACUGCCAGACUAGAGUAAGGUAGGGGUUGCGGGAAUUCCCGGUUUAGCGGUGAAAUGCGUAGAUAUCGGGAAGAACACCAGUGGCGAAAGCGCGCAACUGGGCCAUUACUGACACUGAGGGACGAAAGCUAGGGGAGCGAAUGGG